GACGAACGCUGGCGGCGUGCCUAAUACAUGCAAGUCGAGCGCAGGAAACUGACGGAACUCUUCGGAGGGAAGGCAGUGGAAUGAGCGGCGGACGGGUGAGUAACACGUAAGGAACCUGCCUCAAGGAUUGGGAUAACUCCGAGAAAUCGGAGCUAAUACCGGAUAGUUCAUCGGACCGCAUGGUCCGUCGAUGAAAGGCGCUUCGGCGUCACCUUGAGAUGGCCUUGCGAUGCAUUAGCUAGUUGGUGGGGUAACGGCCCACCAAAGCGACGAUGCAUAGCCGACCGGAGAGGGUGAUCGGCCACACUGGGACUGAGACACGGCCCAGACUCCUACGGGAGGCAGCAGUAGGGAAGCUUCCACAAUGGACGAAAGUCUGAUGGAGCAACGCCGCGUGAGUGAUGAAGGUUUUCGGAUCGUAAAACUCUGUUGUAAGGGAAGAACACGUACGAGAGGAAAUGCUCGUACCUUGACGGUACCUUACGAGAAAGCCACGGCUAACUACGUGCCAGCAGCCGCCGCAGUAA
rnacentral:rRNA from 1 species